GAUGAACGCUAGCUACAUGCUUAAUACAUGCAAGUCGAGGGACCGGCGCUCGGGUGCGUAACACGUAUCCAACCUGCCCUUUACCCGCGGAUAGCCUUUCGACAGACAGAUUAAUACCCGAUAUAAAGGAUGGGGAUGCGUUCCAUUAGGUUGUUGGUGAGGUAACGGCUCACCAAGCCUUCGAUGGAGAGGGGUUCUGAGAGGAAGGUCCACCACAAUGGAACUGAGACACGGUCCAAAAUCCUACGGGAGGCAGCAGUGAGGAAUAUUAGGCAAUGGGCGCUAGCCUGAACCAGCCAAGUAGCGUGAAGAAUGAAGGGUUAUGGGUCGUAAACUUCUUUUAUAGAAGAAUAUGUAUUAUAUGAAUAAGGAUCGGCUAACUCCGUGCCAGCAGCCGCGGUAAUUC
rnacentral:rRNA from 1 species